rnacentral:lncRNA from 1 species
AGACCUGUGUCUUAUCAUGCCUGCCUGCCUGCCUGCCUGCAGCAGUGACGUCUACCUCACUCGACAGCAACAGGGUCUUCUUGCAGAACUCUAGGAAUGGGGGCUUCACCACCUUUCCAGAUCAUGGCUCCCUGGUCAGGCCUGAUGAAACAGAAGCCAGGUCUAACACAGGCCGGCCUUCCACUACACCCGUGUCCAUGUCAUAGGAACACUUCCCGUGUCUGUGGCUAUUCAUCUACUCAUUUCUUUUUGGAGAGAAUCUCAUGUAUCCCAGGCUGGCCUCAAACUCACUGCACAGCUGAGGAAGAUGGCCUUGAACUUCCUAUCAUCUUGUCUUCAUUCCCGUGGUCACAGACAUGCAUCCGAAGUUCAGUCUUGUGUGGUAUUGGAUCCCAGAUCGUCCUGUGCUUGGCAAGCCUUCUACCAGCUGAGCUACCUGCCCGCCCACCCAACUUAUUUUUUGUAAGACAGGGCCUCCCUCUGUAGCCCUGGCUACCCCGGAACUUACAGAGAUCCUCCUGCCUCUGCCUAUUAAAUGCUGGCUUUACGGGCUUGUGCCACCC